AUGAAUAGCCCCAGCAGACUGUGUGUAGGCUCUGGCUCCAAACACCAUGAUGUGUCUACCUUCCAAGGUUGGGUGGACCUCCCAGAUGCCUUGCUGCACUCAAUUGUUGGUAUGCUGACCUCCUCCAUCGACAUUCUUGCCUUUGCUGUCACCUGUCGCUCUUGGCAUGCCGCCUUCUUCUCGUAUCCAUCCAAAUCUAUCUUUCGCGCCUUAUGCCCACCUCUCUUCAUCCGAGAAAAAAUCGGCAUCCAAACUCCUUUUAUUAUCAAUGGUCCUGGCAUUCCACAUACAUUUAACUUUAUUGAUCCAUCCUACCCAAACACCCCUCGACGUUACCAGAUUCGGGAAGAUAUUCUGCAUGAGUUUCGGUAUGGUGGUUCUUCCUAUGGUCUCCUCAUCUUUUUCCACAACAGAGAUUGUCUUGUUGUUGACGCGUUCAGUGGUGCAGAGGUUUCACCUCCACGUCUCCCCAAUGUGAUUGAGUGGUGCUAUUGUAGCACUCUGACUGCCCCCCUUGCAUCACCCAACUCACACCUCCUUGUCAGUGCUGCAUCAUCCCUAUUAGAUUGGUCAGUUGGAAGUGACACUUGGUCUGAACUCACACUUUUCAAUGUACGAAUACAGCAGAUUGUGGAACUGAAUGGUCAAUUUAUUGCCAUGGAUAAUCAUAUGAAGAUCUAUACUUUGCAGUUGGCCCCCCAACUUAGCCUGCAAAACCUCCCACUCGAGUGGUGCCACGGCAAGACUCCACGUGCAUUCUUAAACCCAUGGCUAGUGAUCUGCCAUGAUAUGCUUCUGCUGGUUUGCUAUAAUAUCAGGUUUCCAUUCCAGCGAUCGACCUUCUGUACACUCCACCGCCUAGAUAUGUCAAACAAUCCCGCAACAUGGGUGGAGAUGAAGAAGCUAAACAACUGGGCACUCUUUGUUCCGGUUGAUACGAGAGACCCGCCAUUUUCUUGUAUUAACCCCGAACGAUGGGGAGGGAGAAGCAAUUGUCUGUACUACGCUCAACGAUCUCAUCCUUGGGGUGUACGGUGGUUGGGUAAUGAGCUAGAUCUUGUGAAGGAUCCAUCAAGCAAUCGCGACCUUGGGUUAACGAGGACUAUGAUGCAGCAACCAGGUUAUUUCUGGGUCUACCCCAGCACGUUCUAUUCCGAUGGCCGGUGA
rnacentral:rRNA from 1 species